UUGUUUGCUGGUGUGCUUGAUAUCUACAGGGAACUAUGUUGCAGCUCAUCAGACGGCCCAGAGAACUUUGCCUCCAGAUGUGUGGCCACCCCAGUUUGUGUGGUCUGGUCCGCCUGACUGGUUUCCUCCAGAAGGGCAAACACCACGCAGCAGUACUCGCGUUUAUAGCCCAAAGUCGUUCAACCCAGAUCGGCUCCACAGUGCAAACGCUUUAAACCCCAAUGAUGGCAGCAGAUAUCCGCACAAGAAACCUCAGACUUAUAAUUCAGUGGCCAGCCCAAAGACGUUUAGCAUACAGUUUCAAGCUCUCCCUUUCUCAAACAAAGGAUGUGGCCAUUCACAGUCAUCGAAGUGUCCCAAUAAACACCCGAAAGGUGCUUUAAAGCCUGGUGUUCAAAUUAGCUUAGCUCUUAGAACCACCGCAGCACCACCAUCUACCACCAGUGCGGCCAAUGCUGGAGUUUCAUAUUCAGGACACUCACAGAAUAAAUUUUUCAUAAUCCUUUUAAAGUGCCAGAGGUAAAUAAGCCAUCAGAUCUCAUCCCAGUUGCUCAGAAACUAUCACAAAGCGGGUUGGUAUCAUUCUUAAACAAGCUGCUUGUUCAGAGAGGACAGAGUAAUGCCCAAACACAACACAACAAAGUGGUUUUCAAACCAUUGGAACCACAACAGUCCUCACAAAGUCAAAGUGGGCCUUUCUCAAGUCCUCAAGCCCAAACAACUUCUGGAUGGGUCAAACGCACUCUGCAGGUUCCAGUGAUGCAGGAAGUGGUGCCCAGACUCCUGUCCAUCAAGCUGUCCAAAACACUGUAAACGUUCCCCUCAGUGGCACCAAAUUAACAAGCCACCAUUUUCCGACGAAGAUGUGAAAAAGGAUAUUUUACAGUCUGUGCAAUAUGUGAACGGUCAACUAAUGAUUCCUCUGGAGAAGUGCCCAGGUUAUGAAAAUUAGCAACUUUAAAAGUUUAUGUUCAACAACACGUGCCCCUCCCUGGUCGCCUCCCCACGGUCACGUUCACCAGCAUGGGUCGCCUCCCCACGGUCACGUUCACCAGCAUGGGUCGCUUCCCUACGGUCACUAUCACCAUCACAGGCCGUCCUCUUCACCUAGUGACCAAAUACAGACCCAACCAAAUUAUGACCAGUUUUUAAAUGUACAAGGCACGGCCCAGAGUCCCAUUGAACCACUACAAGAAACAAAUGUCCAGCUGUCCAGAGUGUAUCAAGAAAAUCCGUUCAGGCGGUGGCAACAUUCAUUGUCAAGAGGACCCCAAUAUCCAAUCCUCAUCAAACCUAUACAUCAUAUGUGCACGAGGAGCCUGAGCAGUCUGGGUCAAACUACAUGGUGCAACCUGACGCCCAAAGUCAGUACUGAUGUCUUCUCUGGCUCCAGAAGCAAAGUUGGCGGGAUCCAUAUUAAACAAAUUCCCUACUCUAUUAAAGUGAACAAUUUGUACUACUUUGACGCAUACUUGUCUUGUUCUCUUACUGGCUUAACUUGUGUAUCCCACUCAAACAUUUGGUAAGCAAUUUAAAUCCCAUGCCUGGGGGAAAAAAAGACUGUUCACAAAUUAUAAAACAUGUUUGAGGAUUGAUCCUAAAACUGGCAGGUCUGUUGCAGUAACAAAUCCUUGUUUUGAGUUUGGUCUUAGAGAAAUAAAAUUUUAACUGUUUAUUAAAUGGUGGAGUGGAAAUCAUUUGUUUAAACUGAAGUAUAUUCUGAAAUGCCUUCAUGGCCCAAAAAAGGGAAUCCAUAUUGCCCCAUCCUAACCGGCUUUCGUUAUAAGUGGGCACGGGAGUUAUUUGGAUUUUGAUGCACUAUGCAACUUGUGUAAGGAAAAAAACGGUUCAUAUUGAACCUGUUUUAACGAUUUAACCUUUGUGCUUAACCUCAAAACUCAGCCAAGAUAUUACAUGGGAGGGGACAGGUUACUACAUAGAAAAUAAAGAUUAAUCUUGAUACACUUACUGAAUGGUCCACAUUGUAAAAUGAGGUCUGUGCGGUAUUGGCCGUUAAAAUUUAGAAAUAAACUUUUUUUUUUGGCUGGUGAAAAGGUCUGAAAAUGGCACCAAAUACAGAAAAGGUCAUGUGAUUAAAAUCUAUCAAGAUGGACCAUUGAAUGUGAAACCUUUCUUCUGGAGCCAAUUAUCUAACUUUAUUCUUCCUGGUUAAACACUUGCCCCUAAGCUUUUAGCAUUUCCCAAGACUCACCAACAUUAAAAAAGAAAUGCGUCAUACUCCGUG
ensembl:lncRNA